AUUAACUUCUAUAUGGAAAUUUCACUGGCAAAAGAUUUUCUUCCCUGAUUAAAAGCAUGCCUGAAAUUGUUUUCAUGCUCAUUGUGGGUGAACUCCAGUCUUCAUGAUUGCAAACCAAAUACUUGGAUAAUUGAGUCUUCUUGCUAGCAAAAUGAUACAGGCUAGUGGCCUGCACUUGGUCAGUAACCAGGAAUGAUGAGAAGUACUGCACCAUCACAGGUUUCUA